AAAAAUGCAGCAGCAGACUAAGAAAGAUGAAACUAGGUGGAAACUACUGGUUGGCAAGGUAGUAGCAGCAAAGGGCAAACUGGGGCCAUUCUGAGAUCAGCAUCUAGGUUUAUCAUGAGCCCUUGAAUUUUAUUACCUUGUUUCUUCAGCCAUUACAAUUGUAAGAAAUAAUGGCAACUGUAAAAUGGAAAAAAUGGUAAUAAAAUGGAUGGUUUUCUUGGUUUGAAUUUAAAAAAAAAA
rnacentral:misc_RNA from 1 species